rnacentral:rRNA from 1 species
GAUGAACGCUGGCGGCGUGCCUAAUACAUGCAAGUCGAGCGAACAGACGAGGCGCUUGCUCCUCUGACGUUAGCGGAGGACGGGUGAGUAACACGUGGAUAACCUACCUAUAAUACUGGGAUCUCUUCGGGAAACCGGCGCUAAUACCGGAUAAUCUCUUGCACCGCAUGGUUCAAUAGUAAAAGACGGUUUUGCUGUCACUUCUCGAUGGAUCCGCGCCGCAUUAGCUAGUUGGUAAGGUAACGGCUUACCAAGGCGACGAUGCGUAGCCGACCUGAGAGGGUGAUCGGCGACACUGGAACUGAGACGCGGUCCAUACUCCUACGGGAGGCAGCAGUAGGGAAUCUUCCGCAAUGGGCGAAAGCCUGACGGAGCAACGCCGCGUGAGUGAUGAAGGUCUUCGGAUCGUAAAACUCUGUUAUUAGGUAAGAACAAAUGUGUAAGUAACUAUGCACGUCUUGACGGUACCUAAUCAGAAAGCCACGGCUAACUACGUG